rnacentral:rRNA from 1 species
CUACGGGUGGCAGCAGUGGGGGAUAUUGCACAAUGGGGGAAACCCUGAUGCAGCGACGCCGCGUGUGGGAAGACGGUCCUCUGGAUUGUAAACCACUGUCCCCAGGGACGAAGAUGACGGUACCUGGGGAGGAAGCUCCGGCUAACUACGUGCCAGCAGCCGCGGUAAUACGUAGGGGGCGAGCGUUGUCCGGAAUUACUGGGCGUAAAGAGAGCGUAGGCGGCACUACAAGUCUCAUGUGAAAUACCCGGGCUUAACUUGGGGGUUGCAUGGGAAACUGUAGAGCUUGAGUACAGGAGAGGCAAGCGGAAUUCCUAGUGUAGCGGUGAAAUGCAUAGAUAUUAGGAGGAACACCAGUGGCGAAGGCGGCUUGCUGGACUGAAACUGACGCUGAGGCUCGAAAGCGUGGGGAGCAAACAGGAUUAGAUACCCCUGUAGUC